AUGGAUGCCAGCACCAUCAUCCCCCUCCUACUGCUGUUCCCAGUGGGUGUGUAUGCUCAGGGCAGCCUGGUGGAGUCUGGUGCCUGGUGCAAGGUGCAGCUGGUGGAGUCUGGAGGAGAUGUGAGGAAGCCUGGAGACUCUCUGUGCCUCUCCUGCAAAGCCUCUGGAUUCACCUUCAGCAGCUCCUACAUGACCUGGGUCCACCAGGCUCCUGGAAAGGGGCUACAGUGGGUGGCCCAGAUUAACUCUGGUGGAUCCAGCCAGUGGUGCUCAGCAGAUGUUCAGGGAAGAUUCACCAUCUCCAGGGACAACUCACAGAACCUGCUACACCUGCAGAUGAACAGCCUGAGCCCUGAGGACAUGGCCCAGUAUUACUGUGCCAGCGAUGCAUGGUGA